GACGAACGCUGGCGGCGCGCUUAACACAUGCAAGUCGAACGGAAAGGCCUGCUUUCCCUUGUGGAUUGCGGGUACUCGAGUGGCGAACGGGUGAGUAACGCGUGAGUGAUCUGCCCCCAACUUGGGUAUAAGCCUGGGAAACUGGGUCUAAUUCCCGAUAGGACUGCAGGGUGGUGCCUGUGGUGGAAAACGAUUUUCUAGUGGUUGGGGAUGAGCUCGCGGCCUAUCAGCUUGUUGGUGGGGUAAUGGCCUACCAAGGCGGCGACGGGUAGCCGGCCUGAGAGGGUGGACGGCCACAUUGGGACUGAGAUACGGCCCAGACUCCUACGGGAGGCAGCAGUGGGGAAUAUUGCACAAUGGGCGGAAGCCUGAUGCAGCGACGCCGCGUGGGGGAUGACGGCCUUCGGGUUGUAAACUCCUUUCGACCGCGAGGAAGCCACCUGGUUGGAAGGGUGGUGACGGUAGUGGUAGAAGAAGCACCGGCUAACUACGUG
rnacentral:rRNA from 1 species